rnacentral:ncRNA from 1 species
ACAGAUCAACGCGGGAGCUCGCACCCGAAAGCGGGCUGAGAGGGCGGCUGGAGAGAGCUCCGGGGCCGCCGACCGCCUGAACCUGACCGGGUAAUGCCGGCGUAGGGAGUGAACGGCUUUGGCCG